UAGUUUAUCAUCAUGAUGUUGAC
rnacentral:miRNA from 1 species